GAAAGAAACUUACAAGGAUUCCCCUAGUAACGGCGAGUGAAGCGGGAUCAGCUCAAAUUUGAAAUCUCAUAGGCGGGAGCCUAUGCGAAUUGUAGUUUAGAGAAGCGUUUUCGGGGGCAGCCUGGGCAUAAGUUCUUUGGAACGAGACAUCAUAGAGGGUGAGAAUCCCGUGUGUGGUCCAGUGCCUGUCCCUGUGUGAUACGCUUUCCAAGAGUCGGUUUGUUUGGGAAUGCAGACCAAAAUGGGUGGUAAAUACCAUCUAAAGCUAAAUAUUGGCGAGAGACCGAUAGCGAACAAGUACCGUGAGGGAAAGAUGAAAAGAACUUUGAAAAGAGAGUUAAACAGUACGUGAAAUUGUCAAAAGGGAACCGCUUGAAACCAGUAUUGUGGGCAGGGAAAUCAAUGGUCCUGUGGGCCGUGCACUUUUCCUGUCUUUCACGGGUCAGCAUCAGUUUGGCCGGGGGUAGAAAGCGGGGGGAAUGUGACCACUCGCAAGGGUGGUGUUAUAGCCCCUCGUCAUGCCCCGGGCUGGACUGAGGACUGCAGCGCUCUUGGGUAUCCGGUCGUCGGGUGAAGCUGUUGGCAUAGACAGCUUGCUGAUUAUGCUGGGGUGGAGCUCGUCCGGUUGGUUUGCCACACGCACGCUUAGGAUGCUGACGAAAUGGUUUUAAACGACCCGUCUUGAAACACGGACCAAGGAGUCUAACAAGUCUGCGAGUAUUUGGGUGCCAAACCCUUGUGCGUAAUGAAAGUAAACUUGGUGGGAUAUUUGCACCAUCGACCGGUCUGGAUAUUUUUGAUAGAUCUGAGUAAGAGCAUACUUGUUGGGACCCGAAAGAUGGUGAACUAUGCCUGAAUAGGGUGAAGCCAGAGGAAACUCUGGUGGAGGCUCGUAGCGAUUCUGACGUGCAAAUCGAUCGUCAAAUUUGGGUAUAGGGGCGAAAGACUAAUCG
rnacentral:rRNA from 1 species